UGGUAAUAAGGUACAGCAGAAUCAAG
rnacentral:sRNA from 1 species